AAUGAGCUCAAGAUAAUUAGUUGAACAGGAAGUGUAUUCCAACUGUCCACACGUCAUUCGACGGCGAAGGACUGACGUGACGGUUUCGUUUCGACGGCAGUGAAAUUUCAUUUUUUAGUGAAUGUGCUUGUGAAACGGCUUUAAAAAUGCAAAUUCCAAACGAAUAUGUGUCUACAGCCGAGGAUGUUGCAGAUCAGGUGAUCCGCAAAGGCAAGAAUGUGCUGCCAACAGUGGCGCGCCUGUGCCUCAUCUCCACAUUCCUGGAGGACGGGCUCCGCAUGUGGUUCCAGUGGUCGGAGCAGCGCGACUACAUGGACAUGUCAUGGGGGUGCGGCAAGUUCCUCGCCACAAUGUUUGUGAUAAUAAACUUAGUUGGCCAACUGGGUGGCUGCGUGAUGGUGCUCGGCAGGCUCAAGGUGGACAUCGCGUGUGGAGUUCUAUUCUUCAUCGUAGUACUACAGACCUUCGCCUACAGUAUAUUAUGGGACAUGCAGUUCUUGCUGCGUAACUUGGCUCUUAUCGGAGCCCUACUGCUUGUGGUAGCGGAGGCCCGUGCGGAGGGGCGCAGCCUCUUCGCCGGUGUGCCGUCGUUAGGCGAGAACAAGCCCAAGACUUACCUGCAGUUGGCUGGCAGGAUUCUACUGGCUUUCAUGUUCAUCACACUGCUGAGAUUCGAAAUUUCCUUCUUGCAGAUCGUGCAAGACUUACUCGGCAGCGUGCUGAUGAUCCUGGUGACAGUGGGGUACCGCACCAAGCUGUCGGCUCUGAUGCUGGUGGUGGUACUGUCUGUGCUCAACUUGUACCACAACGCGUGGUGGGCUGUACCCUCUUACAAGCCGCUGAGGGACUUCCUUAAAUAUGACUUCUUCCAGACCUUAUCAGUGAUUGGCGGUCUCCUAAUGAUCGUGUACUUGGGCCCCGGCGGCGUCAGUAUGGACGAACACAAGAAGAAGUGGUAGAAUCGGCCCGCGGUGUGUACGAUGUAUGCACAGUGAAAGACAAUUGAUAUUUUAAUCAUAAGAUGUUAUGGUGCAAGAGGAAAGAAUAAUAUUUCAUACAAUUCGGUGUUUUAUGUGACAAUCUGACUAGUCGACAAUUGUGAACAUUGAGCUUACUUCCAUAUCCUGUUGUGUUCGGUUCGUGUUAUGGGCAGUUUGCUUACAUUUGUGUAUCACCAAGAUUUAUGAUUCAUGAACACUCUUAAUAAAUAAAUUGUUGUUGGACAAUGCACAUCGAAAAAUUAUAACAAGGAUUCUAGUCCUGCUAAAUGAUGUUGUAUAAAUUCUUUUUUAAAAUAAUUGAAGAAUUGAUAGCCGCAAAUUGCCCAUAACACAAAACAAGUGGUGUCAACACAAAAUUUUAUAUAAAAAUGCACGUAUUUGGUCGAUCAAUAAUAAUAAAAUAAUGUGUCGGGUCAUCCACGGUUCAUGAUUUCAAUAUCGUCAAUUUUUAUAUGAUAGGACUAGUAUUUACCUGCCUAGCACUGUUUAAUAGAUAGUGUUUGGGAUCCCGACGAUAGACACUUGAAUUCAGCAUUGCAUGUAAAACCUACACAGCAACGAAAAACAUGGCGAAAUAACCUUACAAGUUCGUUGAAGACAUAUUUGGGUUACGUCACGACAGUUGCAUAAAAUGCGGCGGAAGCUAUAAUGUUUUUGGUAUUAUUUAACGUUUAUAUUUAAAGCGACGUAAGCUAAAUAUGUUUUCGAAUUUGAAACGAGAGGAAAUAUAACGCAAGUACCGCAAUGAGUCACUUGCAAUUGCUUGGUUAUGGCGAUUCAAAACAUUGAGAUUGUUUUUGAGCUUGUGUUAGUGCCAGACAUUCAAUGCUGCGUUCAAGCGUGCCAAAAUAGUAAACUCCUUCCUUUCCCGCGUAGACGUGAUAUGUUCUAAGCGGGGCCCUUCGCGUGUAAGUGUAUGUACUCAGACUGAACGUAACCCGCUUUCAUUCUCUAUACCGUCACAUUUUCAUUCCGUUUUUCUAAUUGUUGUGAUUAAAUGUAAAUAUUUAUAUAAAAAAAUAUCUAUUUUGUACUUACUGACUGAAUAACAGACAACAGAUCUUUGAAUGUAAACGCAAAUGCUCUUUUUAUGAAUUUUAAUAUUCCAGUAGCCAUAAGUGAAACUUUGGUAUCACAAUUCGAAGAUUUGUGCUUCAUCUUCCUUAUAAAAUAAUAAAAUGUAGUCAUAAAAACAUAAAUAAUUUGAUUUAUCUAAAGUAUUUAAAAGACACAUAUUUUUGUAUUAUUUUUUUUUUUAUUUAUUUUCUUAAGUUUCAGUUUGGCCAUAGAUGAUAAAGAUUCCUGAAAAUAUUGUUCCGAAUAAAUUUUUACAUAAUAAAA
rnacentral:misc_RNA from 1 species